CGCCGUCCAGGCGGCAAGGCCGUGGCCUUACUGCCAGCUUGCCUCGCCAAACCGCUAGGGUCCUAUAGGCAGCGGGACUUUUCGGUGUGUCCCAGCGCCGGAGCGAACAGUGGGAUCGUCGUGCGAUGGAGGUAGUCAGAUGGAUUGUUCACCAGAGCUCACCUCUCGUUGGGGGCUUCACUAUGCCAGCGACCAGCCUUGUUCUCGCCUCUGCUAAUGGUGAGACCUCCCAUGGUUCUUCUUUGUUUUUUUUUACUUUGCUUAGCCUCUUAUCGAAGUACGGUUUGAACGCCGGGGUGUCCAGUUCGCUGAUGUCGCCGUAGGAGCACGAGGUGGAAGAAGACCUAGGAACCGUAGAUCAAAUAUCUGGGGCUGGGAUUGGUUGUGUGCAUGGAUAGUUUCUGGGCCGUUGAUCCGACGACGUCCGGUCUAGAUUAGAGUAUACUAUCCUUUUGUUCCGGACCGUUGAAUCUCAAUUGGGCGCCUCGGAUUAAAUCAACCACGAUCCCCCUUUUGUCGCAUUAAACCGGAGCCGCAGAUUUCCCGAUGAACGGUCCCGAUUUGCGCAUGAAUACCUCUUCGCGCGAUCGGAUCGGGGCCCUUGUUUUCUGAUCGGACGGCUCAGCCCGUCCGAUACCCCUUCGGCUAGUAAUCUUUAUGAAGAGCCCCUGUUCUUUUCUAGAUUUAACCCGCAGUCCAGAGAUCCUUUGUACUGAGUCAGGUAAACAUUGCGCUAGGGCCCCUGUAUUUUACAAAUUUUGAUGCCCAGUCCAGAGAAUUAGAAAAAUCCAUAAAAGUAAUUAGGAGAUGAAUUUUUAAUGUAAAAAUAAAUAAUAGAACUUGUUUAAUUCAUAUAAAAUUCUUAUUAAGUCAAAAUGAGUCCAUUCCAAUUCCUAUAAUUUUAUAAUAUUAUUUUUUAUCUACUAGUGUCUCUGUUUUGACAUGAAAAACAUAUUAAAAUUUGUCUCUUAAUUAAUCUUGUAUCAAACAAAUAAAAUCUUUGGAAAUUCAUAACUCCUCCAUUUUAAUUCCGAUUUGACUCGUUCCAGUUGCGUUAGUUUCGUAUAAGUAUUUAAUACGCAGUAACAACACUUAUUAUACCAUGUCUCAUUAUUUUAUAAUUGGAUCUGUAUUUAACUUAUGUUGGUUAGUCUUGUUAAUCUGCUCAUCUACUAAAACAUAAUCUAUGGUCAAUUCAUAAUUUAGAUUAAAGUUGAUAUAAUUAUUUAUAGUAUAAUCUCUUAUAUAAUUUAUACUAACCAAUUUAUAAUAUAAUUUAAUAUUUUAAUCAUACAAAUCUUUUAUAAAAUCAUAACUUGAAGACCGUAACUCCGAUCUUAGUAGUUCUCGAUCCCGCGAUCUCGUAGCUUCGUGUAGAUUAUUAUUAUUCAGUUUGUUAUUAUGUUUGGUGUGAUGUUAAUUUUUAUCUAUACCAUGUUUGUUUGUAUUGCUACGUCUAGUGCGAGGUUUCAAGUCACCUGAAGUUCACCCUGGUAACUGGAUCUCAAGUGCCAGGCAAGUUGUGCCCUUGAUCACUUACUUUUCCCAGCCAUGUUCUUAUUAAUUUUAAUGAUCUGCAUAGGUUAAUUUUGAUGGGAUCCUUUAUGUACCCCAGUUUUGAUUACCUCUAUACCUUGUUCACCCCUGAAAUAUUUUUGGGUAGUACUUGCUAUUGCUUUAUGUGGAUUGGGUAUGGAGAUACACUACUCAUGAUUAUCCUGUUAUUAUCUUGUUAAUAUUACUGUUCAUGUUAAGAUCAUUAAAUUAAUGGGAACAUGGAGCGACCACCCGGGAAAACAGUGCUACCACAAGGGUUUAAUGGGACGCCCUUGGCUGAUUAACUAGGAAAGCUAGUGGAGGUCUUCCUUACCCGAAAGGGGCAAGGGCAGUAGGGGAGUGGUCAGUGUAGGGAGGUCCUUGGGUUGAUUUUGCUGCGAUGGCGGUCAGGCAAGAACCCUGCACUGGAGCUUCCUAUAAACUGUAGCGGGAUUUCUAAAACUAGUGGAACUUUGUAAAGGCCUCGUAGUGUUACCCUGCCUCGCCUCCUCGGUAGAGGUGUAUGGGAUUGGCCAUCUCUUGGCAGAUGGGUAACAUGACUUGUGGGUAAAGAUGCGCAACCUCUGCAGAGUGUAAAACUGGUAUACUAGCCGUGCUCACGGUCAUGAGCGGCUCGGACCCUCACAUGAUUAAUUAUGGAACUUAAAUUUAAUUUGACAUUUGCAUCGCAUUUGGGAUUAUUUUACUAUUACUGUUCUUUAUUAUUAUUAAGGUUUGGUAUUUACUUACACUUAGUAAGUGCUAAUAAAAUUUGACCAACUUAUAAAAGCAAUGCUCAGCUUCAGCCUCUAUUUCAUUGAUCAGCCUUACACUACAUGAUCUCCCGCCUUUGGUGAGUUCAUGUCACAUUAUUCCCCACGACUUGUUGAGCUAUGAACGUAUGUGAGCUCACUCUUGCUGUCUCACACCCCCCCCACAGGAGAAGAACAGGUGGUCGAAGAGGAGCCGCCUAACGCAGAGGCAUUCGACUUGAUCUAGGUGGCGUUUCUCAGUUGACAUUGGCGUCAAUGAUCCUUAGUUCGUUUUAUAUUUAUUCUUUUACUUUGUAAUAAGUCUUCCGCUGUGUAAUAAAUACUCUGAUGUUAUUGACAUUUAUCUCUAUACACUCUGUUAUUAUAUAUGUUGUCUUCUUGGCGCAUGUAUGAGAUGCACCUGGCUUUGUUCCUUAAAGCCGGGUGUUACAGAAGUGGUAUCAGAGGAAUAUUGACUGUAGGACGAAACCUAUAUAGAAAUGGACAAAACCCUUACCUACUUAUCUUAUUCUGAUUCAUUCUACACUUACCUUACCCUGAUUCUUUCUACACUUAUCUUGAUCCUGUCUCACCUUCUACUGUUCUACUCUGAUCAUUCUUACCUUUUCUACUCUUAGACAAGAUGGAUUUCAUACCUUGGAAUCCCUACCCCUAUGACAUUUUUAAGAGUUAGGAAGCCUAAGACAAAAUUAAAAUUAUUUUCUCUAUUAAAAAUGUUGGUUGAUUGUUCUGAUGAUCAAUGCCUGAUUUGCUUCUUUGAUUGAUUGAAAUAUUAUAUGGACAUCUUAGCAUGUGCCAGAGUAUAAGGUAAUAAAUUAGCUAUGGUAGGUGACACACCAAUCUACUUAGCUAAUAAAUCCCCCGCAGUAACAUUCCUCGUAAUUACUCGCCUUGUCUACAAUCCUUUCUUUCUUACCCUGUGUUCCUAACCCUAAUAGGCUACCUCUAUAGUGUUAGAAGAGAGCACUAUAGACAUGAUCCUUGGUAUGUCAUGGUUAAGAAAAGCAAAGGCAGUAUAUACACCGUGCUAAGGGAACCAUAGAACUCACCAGUUCCAAAGGACAAAGAUUUGAAGUUGAAGUUGCAGUAACUACCACCAUCAGACUAGCGGCAUUCUUAGUAGAUGGGAAGUUUGUUGGUGUCAACAUCCGUGUGGUUAGAGAUUUUUCGGAUGUCUUUCCAGAGGAGUUACCAGGGAUGCCACCAUAUAGGGAAGUUGAGUUUGUUAUGGAUCUCUUACCUGGAACUGCCCCUAUUUCUAAACGGCCAUACAGGAUGUUCGUAGAAGAACUAAAGGAACUUAAGAAGCAGUUAACAGAGUUACAAGAGGCUAGGUACAUUCGUUCGAAUUCUUCACCUUGGGGAGCGCCAGUUCUAUUUAUACAAAAGAAAGAUGGAUCGCAAAAGCGUGGAUUAUAGGACCCUUAAUGAUGUCACUAUGAAGAACAAGUAUCCAUUACCCCGUAUUGAGGAUUUGUUUGAUCAGAUGAGAGGAGCCAGGGUAUUCUCGAAGAUUGAUCUCAGGUCGGGAUACCAUCAGAUGAGGAUUAGACCAUCAGAUAUUCCUAAGACGGCUUUCUCAACCCGAUAUGGAUUAUUUGGACAGAUUCGUCGUGGUGUUCAUCGACGAUAUUCUUAUCUAUUCUAGGAAUGAAAGUGAUCAUGAACAACAUCUAAGGUUGGUGCUACAAAAGCUGCGAGAUAAUCAACUCUACGCUAAGUUCAGCAAGUGCGAGUUUUGGAUUGACAAGGUGCCAUUCCUUGGUCAUAUUAUCUCUAAUGGAGGAAUAGCAGUGGAUCCUGCUAAAGUGAAGGAGAUUAUGGAGUGGAGAGUGCCCACUAUAGUUACUGAGGUCCGGAGUUUCUUGGGAGUUGCCGGAUAUUAUUGGAGAUUUAUUGAAGGAUUUUCUAAGGUUGCUAAGCCUAUGACCUUGCUUUUGGAGAAAGGAAGAGAAUUCAAGUGGGAUGAGAAGUGCCAAGAAAGCUUUGAUCAAUUGAAGGAGAGACUAAUGUCGCCACCAGUGUUGGUUAUGUCGGAUCUACAGAAAGGAUUUGACAUUAAUUGUGAUGCCUGUAACCAAGGCUUUGGAUGUGUACUUAUGCAAGAAGGUCUCGCGAUUGCCUACGUGUCUCGUCAGUUGCGGAAACACGAAUUGAACUACCCCACUCAUGACUUGGAAUUGGCAGCCGUUGUGCAUGCGCUUAAGAUUUGGAGACAUUACAUUAUGAGAACCAAGAGCCAAGUAUACAUGGAUCAUAAGAGUUUGAAGUAUAUAUUCACUCAGAAGGAUCUCAACCUUAGGCAACGCCGUUGGUUGGAGCUUAUUAAGGAUUACGAUUUGGAAAUUCACUAUCACCCGGGCAAGGCGAAUUUGGUUGUAGAUGCCUUGAGUCGAAAGGAGCACGUUCAUUCAGCUGUUGUUGCCCAGCUACCCGAUGAGAUUGUUGAGGAUUUUAGGAGACUUAACCUGGGGAUAGUUGUUCACACUGAAGGAGUAACUAUUGAUGCGGAACCUACCUUGGAGCAAGAAAUCCAUGGAAGGACAGAUUGGUGAUGCUAAGAUACAAGAGAUCAAGGAUAUGAUUACUGAAGGUCGAGGUCCAGAAUUUAUGGAAGAUGAGCAAGGCACCAUAUGGUUCAAGGACAGGAUAUGUGUUCCUGACAUUGAAAGCCUUCGUGAGACUAUACUGAAGGAGGUCCAUGACUCGGAUUAUUCUAUUCAUCCUAGGAGUACGAAGAUGUAUAAGGAUUUGAACUAGAAGUUCUGGUGGUAUGGAUUGAAGAGAGAUGUGGCUGCACAUGUGGCUAUGUGCGAUGUGUGUCAAAGAGUUAAGGCUGAACACCAGAGGCCAGUUGGACUACUGCAUCCACUGAAGAUACCCGAAUGGAAGUGAGAAGGGAUUGGUAUGGAUUUUAUUACUGGAUUGCCUCGCACCUCGAAGGGAUAUGAUUCUAUAUGGGUUAUUGUGGAUAGACUGACCAAAGUGGCUCAUUUCAUUCUAGUCAAGACUACGCAUAAGGGAUCUUAAUUGGCAGAGUUAUAUAUGGCUUGGAUUGUGUCUCUACACAGUGUACCCAAGAGGAUCAUUUUGGAUAGAAGAUCACAGUUUACCCCCAGAUUUUGGAAAAGUUGUGUUGACGCUUUUUUGGAGCGCCAAACACUCAACAAGAACCGUGGCGGUGCCUUCUGCACAGGGGCGGACGGUCCGCGCGCAGGGGCCGGACGGUCCGCGGCCUGGUGCGAGGCGCGGUAGUGCUCUCUGCGCAAGGGCGGACUGUCCGCGGCCUGGGGCCGGACAGUCCGCGGCCUGGUGCGCGGCUAGGGCUCCUGCCUGACGGCCGGACGGUCCGCGCCCUGAGGCCGGACGGUCCGCGCGUACGCAGGGACGGCGGAAGAUCGCCGACGGCGCCUGGAUCUCGCUCCCGGGAGGGACCCCGUCGGGGAGUAGAGAUCCUAGGUGGUGUCUAGGCUCGGGUAGACCGACCUAGACUCCUCUAAUCGACGUAGAGUCGAGGAGAGGCGGAGAAUUUGGGGGUUGGAAGGCUAAACUAGAACUACUCCUAAGAUAAAAUGCGAAAUAGAAGUUGUAUUAAUUCGAUUGUUGAUGGUUACAAAUCGGCCGUAUACCUCACUAUUUAUAGAGGAGGGGGGCUGGACCCUUUACAAACUAAUUUCCGAGCUUAUCCCAUGUUUUUAGCUAACAACCGUAGCACAAAACUCGGAACUCUAAUCUGUUCUGCGCACGCGCGGACCGUCCGGCCUCAGGGCCGGACCGUCCGCGCUCAAUUUUGGUUCGAACAUAUGCCCCCCUGCCUUUUGGUGGAGCUGAGCGAACCAAAAGCAACUAACUCGAUGUUAUCACAUCGGUUUUCUUAGGCAUCUUGCCACUUACUAGGAUGGUACGCAGUGGCCUUGGUCUCGAUGGUUGACUCAACGGACGUGAUCCCUUUAGAUUUGAUCGAACUGUCAGUCCCAACAUCGCCGAGCGUCAUACUGGUCCUGACCAAUUCGUCACCUUGCCUUCCUAAUUCUCUAAGUGUUCUGGCGUAGCUCCGUAGUCGACCAGGUCUUCUCCUUGUAGGUCGUCUUCCUCCAUGAGCGUCGGUACGUCAUCGGAGGUGUCUUGGUGUAGUGCGGAUGGUUCGGCCUCAGGGGUCGGAUGGUCCGCGUCCUGUGCAGAUGAUCCGGCCUUUAUAGCCGGACAGUCUACCAUACCUGCAGAGAGAUGCACAGUUGUUGUUUUAUUUACUAUCUUUGUGGCCGUUUGACUUUUCUCAACGGCCUUUGGUCUCCAUCUCUUUUGCGGUGGCGGAUACUGCGGAUGCGUGUCAUUGAAUAUUCUUUCUACCUCUUUUUCCUGAUUCUCCUUUGCUCUGAGGCGCUGUAAUUUUCGCUUUUGCGAUCGUGUCAAUCCCGAUGGACACCAUCGGGGCAUGGAGUAUUUUGGAUCGGCUAUUUUAUUGACAGUCGUACUUUCUUUUUUGUUGGUGUUGGCCGAUUCACCAAAAAUCAUCGGCCCUUCGUUAUUUUGUUGUACGAUGACAUCUGUCGCUCCUAUUUUAAUGACCUCUCCCUUUUUCGUACUGUUGGAGGUUAUAGCUGUAUGUCCCCCUGCCGGAUUAGUCAGCCUUUGGGGCUGAGUUGUUCGGCAAUCUUGCUGGGCCUGUGCUCGUGGACCAGAUUGAGGGGCUCUCAGUCGGUCUUGUACUGGAGGUGUCAACCUAUUGAAUACAGAUGUUUGGGGUGCCCCCCAAGCGGGGUACUGUGGCAUCCCAAAUGGAUAUGUUGGCAUGCCCCACAUUUGAUUUGGGACAUAUGGUGGAGGUAUGUAUGUGUAUGGAUAUGGCAUAGGUGGAUAUGGUGGUGGAGGUGUCCAUGCAGGUACGUUGGGUCUUAAUUGAACAUUAUGACCUUCCGUCCUUUCCGAUUGGUGUGGUGGUCCAAUCGGCCUAACCUGCCGUCGCACCUGGGUGGGUAAGCGAGGUCCCUUUGGUGGCCGGUCACUGGAGCCAGCCUUCUUUUUCACAUAUUUAGACAAUAAUUGAUCAAAGGUCGGGCUAGAUUUUACCAACCGACCAGUUGCCUUGAAUGUGUUAGUUUUCCACGUACCUAUUUCUGGUCGUCGUGGUUUGAAGGUACGUGGUUGCCGCGGCUCUUUGACGUUGCCGGACCGUCCGUCGGAACGCUUCGGACCGUCCGGUGAUGUUACGGACCGUCCGCGCCUAGACACCGGACCGUCCGCGAUGCGUAGUAUGGGUUCUCGCGCAUAUCCCCUUGUCUGUGCUUGCUCCCCAGCGCUGGAGUUUGUGAUGGUUACCUUCAGUGUCUCCCCUCCAUCAGGAGUCUUCUCGGCCAUCACUUUCCUGCAAGAAAUUUUGUUGUUUCCAUCGGCCUCCCGUGCGUUGCCGAUGAUGACUUCUUUGUCUUUGCCCUUAUCGGCUGUGUUGGGCCAAAUUAGGACCUUUUUGCCAUUAAAGUCGAUCACAUUCAUUGGGAAGGGCUCCGUUUCCUCCUGAAAUUUCAAUCGUCCCUCAUUAAUGGCCGAUUGAAUUUGUCGUCGGAACACAUUACAAUCAUUAGUGGCAUGUGAAAAUGAGUUGUGCCACUUGCAGUAUGCGCGACGCUUUAGUUCGUCGGCAGGUGGAACGAUAUAAUCAAUUUUAAUGUUACCAUUUUUUAGUAAUUCAUCGAAUAUCUUAUCACAUUUGCCGACAUUAAAUGUAAACUUAACCUCCUCUUGUCGUUCCUUUUGAACUGACUGCAAGGAGUAGCAAGCCGAAGAUUUGGCCUGCUCGGGCCAAACUAUUUCGGCAGUGUAAACUUUCUUUGGUUCAUCGUCCGAACUACUUUGAUUGUGUUCUACUAUAGGGACAUUAUGAUGAACCGUUCUGACUAGUUCUUUGCUUCGGCUUUCACAAGCCGAAGCUCUCUGAUGUAAUUGUGCUAGAGUAAAGAACUGGAUGCCUUCUAAUCUCUCUUUUAAAUAAUAGCGCAAUCCAUCAAAGGCUAUUCCCGCCAGUUGUUUAUCUGUUAGAUGAAUUUGAAAGCAUCGGUUUCUCGUAUCCUGGAAUCUCCGGAUAUAAUCACUAACCGAUUCAUCCUUUUCUUGUCGUAGGGUCACUAAGUCUACUAAAUCUAGCUCAUAAUCACCAGAGAAGAAGUGUUCAUGAAAUUUUUGCUCUAAGUCUCCCCAUGACAAAAUGGAAUUAGGAGGGAGCGUGGCAUACCAUGUGAAUGCAGUCCCUGUUAAGGAUAAUGAAAAUAAACGCACACGGAAUGCUUCGGUGUCAGCCAAUUCUCCUAAUUGUGCUAGGAACUGGCCUAUGUGCUCACGCGUGCUCUUUCCUUGGUCACCCGAAAACUUUGCAAACUCGGGUAUCCUAGUUCCCUGUGGGUAUGGGUGGUGAUCAAAUCGGCUGUCAUAAGGCUUCCGAUAUGAUUGCCCCCCAGGGAUCAUGCUUACUCCGAGCUUAUCUCGGAACGCCCCGGCUAUUUCUUCCCUCACUAUACCAAUGGCAGCCGGUGCAAGACCACCGGCUCUCUGGUCAAACAUAGGUGGGGUUGGUUGCAUGUUAGUAUGUUGUUGUUCCCCCCAUUGGUUUGAGCUACGUGGUGCAUUUCCAUUUGCGCUAUAUGGCUCAUAUGUUUGAUCGUUUCUUUCCGGCCUUCUUGGUGGGGCCGGGAAGCUUUCCUGGGCUCUGGAUCCUGAAUUAAUGGGCUGGUGCAUUGCAUAAUGUGAUGGGAAGUGUUGUUGGGACGGGCGAGGAUUCAGGUAAUAAUCCCCCUCAAAAGACUCAUGCGCGGACUGUCCGGAUACGUACCCGGACCGUCCGUGAUUAUAUGCGGACCGUCCGUCGUUGUAUGCGGACCGUCCGACUGGAUAGUUUAAAUUCGGUGCCCUAUGUGGUGGCUCGGGUGUGUGUCUAGGUAACUCAUUAAAAAUGGGCCCGACUGUGGCUGACCCGGACGGUCCGCGCUCGCGAGCGGACGGUCCGGACAUGUGUAGAUCGGCUGGUUUAUUGCCGAUUUGCGUUUGCUCAAGGUACGUGUCCAUCGGCAUCCCAUAAGGGGGUUGUGACUGGUCGUGACAACCUUUAGCCGAUGUAUUACGUGUAUUAUCUCCUAAUUCAACCUCGUGUGAAGGAAAAUUUGCUAUACUAGAUUUAUCAAAUGCACGUACUAGUCUCCUACAAUCGUUUUGCAUAACCCCUAUGAUAUUUUGCAUCUGUUCUCGCUGUUCGUCUAUGUAAGCUUUAAGAGAUUGGAGUUCGUUGGUGCUACUUACAUUUGGGGUAAUCGUAGUAGGUCGGAGCGAAGCCAGAUCUGUCGCCCGUUGUCGAACGACUUUGUUGUUCCUGUCCACUUUGAAGUCAGCCAGGAACUUCGCCUUUGCUUCUUGGAUCAACUGCUCCUGGCGCUCCUCGAACAGAAGUUGUUCUUCAGCCGGCAAGGCUUCCCAUGUCGGUGUGAUGAUAUUGCUGGUGGAAACCUCAGAGCUAUCUUUUGAACCGGCCAUUGAGGGCCGAUUUGAUAGGUCUAGAUGUGUUUUCCCCAGCGGAGUCGCCAAAAAGUAUGUUGACGCUUUUUUGGAGCGCCAAACACUCAACAAGAACCGUGGCGGUGCCUUCUGCACAGGGGCGGACGGUCCGCGCGCAGGGUCCGGACGGUCCGCGACCUGGUGCGAGGCGCGGUAGUGCUCUCUGCGCAAGGGCGGACUGUCCGCGGCCUGGGGCCGGACGGUCCGCGGCCUGGUGCGCGGCUAGGGCUCCUGCCUGACGGCCGGACGGUCCGCGCCCUGAGGCCGGACGGUCCGCGCGUACGCAGGGACGGCGGAAGAUCGCCGACGGCGCCUGGAUCUCGCUCCCGGGAGGGACCCCGUCGGGGAGUAGAGAUCCUAGGUGGUGUCUAGGCUCGGGUAGACCGACCUAGACUCCUCUAAUCGACGUAGAGUCGAGGAGAGGCGGAGAAUUUGGGGGUUGGAAGGCUAAACUAGAACUACUCCUAAGAUAAAAUGCGAAAUAGAAGUUGUAUUAAUUCGAUUGUUGAUGGUUACAAAUCGGCCGUAUACCUCUCUAUUUAUAGAGGAGGGGGGCUGGACCCUUUACAAACUAAUUUCCGAGCUUAUCCCAUGUUUUUAGCUAACAACCGUAGCACAAAACUCGGAACCCUAAUCUGUUCUGCACACGCGCGGACCGUCCGGCCUCAGGGCCGGACCGUCCGCGCUCAAUUUUGGUUCGAACAAGUUGUUAUGAGAAUAUGGAUGCAAAGUUGAAUUUUAAUUCGGCCUACCUCAGACUGAUGGACAGACUAAAAGGACUAAUCAAGUAUUGGAAGACAUGUUGAGAGCUUGUGUUCUUCAGCAUGGUAGUAGUUGGGACAAGAGUCUACUUUAUGCUGAGUUUUCAUAUAAUAAUAGUUACCAGGCCGGUCUAAAGAUGUUACCGUUCGAGGCUCUAUAUGGCUGAAAGUGUAGGACUCCUCUAUAUUGGAUCAGACUAAAGGUAGACAAUUCCUUGGACUUAAACUUAUUCAAGAGGCAGAAGAACAAGUAUGUAUAAUCAGGGAGAACUUGAGGGUAGCUCAAACCAGACAAAAGAGCUACGCAGAUAAUAGAAGAAGACCACUGGAAUUUGAGAAAGGUGAUUAUGUGUACCCCAAAGUGUCACCACUUCGUCGGAUGAGGAGAUUUAAAGUCAAGGGCAAAUUGUCCCCUCGCUUUAUUGGACCAUUCAGAGUUUUGUUAGGCGAGUUGGAGAGAUGGCCUAUCAACUCGAGCUACCAGAUAAUCUACCUGAUGUGCAUAAUGUAUCCCAUGUGUCUCAACUUAAGAAGUGUCUCCGUGUCCCUAAGGAACAGUUACCAAUGGAAAAGCUCAGUGUUCAUGAUGAUUUGACUUACACGAAGUAUCAGAUCAAGAUUCUUGAUACAUUGACUCGAGUUACAAGAAAUAAGGUAAUAAUGAUGUGUAAAGUGCAAUGGAGUCACCACGGUGAAGAUGAAGCGACCUGGGAAAGAGAAGAAGAGCUUCGUAUAGAUUUUCUCCAUCUUUUCCCCUCGUUCUUCUUAAAUCUCGAGGAUGAGAUUUCUGUUAAGGGGGGUAGGAUUUGUAAUACCCAAUUUGUAGAUAUAAUAUAAAAGGAGAAAAGUUAUUUUCCUUUAUCUAUAUGUGUGUUAUACCUACUUACUAUCACAAGUGAACACCUCAUUUAAAAACAAAGGAUUAAUAAAAGUCAUUAAAUUGUGCAUCAUGUUGGAGUUUAAUUGUUUGUGCAUUUAAUAAUAAAGAAAAUUUUAAUAAGGUUACAUUAAUGAUGUGAAUUGAGGAUUAAAACCUAAUUCAAAUCUUAGAAUUUGGGAAUAAAAAUGUAAAAAAGAAAUAUUAUUCAAUAUAAAAUAAUAUUAAAACUGAAUAACUUCACCACAUGCUGGUGUGACUAAAUUGCAUAGUUAACAUGAACUUGAAUUUGCACUUAAGUGGAAUUCAAAAUUUAAAUUCAAAUGAAUUAGGAAUAAAGAAGAAAGCAGAAAAAAAAACAAAUGAACCUCACCCCCGCAUGGCCAUUGAGAAAUUUCCCACGGCCCAUGUCCCUCACGUCCCCUUCCUAUUUUUUUCUCUUUUUUUUAUUUAUUUACUAGCUAGAAGCCACGUUAUCACACUUUCAUGAAAACGUCAUUCGAUAAAAUUAACCAGCACGUGCCCGUCUCCCACUCGAUUACCUGCACACACCGUCUGCCAUGCGGACCCCGGGUCCAGAAAUUACUUCAAUCCCAAGCUUGUAACAAACCCAGCGCUCCUGUAGACCGUGGAAGAUUCUGCGUAACCACCUACGACUCACCAGCCGAGCACCACCCGGCCAGAAUUCCUCGGACCCAGUUAUAUAAAUACCGACCCUCUAACAGCGCAUCCCAGCCUGUUGCGCCGUCCAGGCGGCAAGGCCGUGGCCUUACUGCCAGCUUGCCUCGCCAAACCGCUAGGGUCCUAUAGGCAGCGGGACUUUUCGGUGUGUCCCAGCGCCGGAGCGAACAGUGGGAUCGUCGUGCGAUGGAGGUAGUCAGAUGGAUUGUUCACCAGAGCUCACCUCUCGUUGGGGGCUUCACUAUGCCAGCGACCAGCCUUGUUCUCGCCUCUGCUAAUGGUGAGACCUCCCAUGGUUCUUCUUUGUUUUUUUUUACUUUGCUUAGCCUCUUAUCGAAGUACGGUUUGAACGCCGGGGUGUCCAGUUCGCUGAUGUCGCCGUAGGAGCACGAGGUGGAAGAAGACCUAGGAACCGUAGAUCAAAUAUCUGGGGCUGGGAUUGGUUGUGUGCAUGGAUAGUUUCUGGGCCGUUGAUCCGACGACGUCCGGUCUAGAUUAGAGUAUACUAUCCUUUUGUUCCGGACCGUUGAAUCUCAAUUGGGCGCCUCGGAUUAAAUCAACCACGAUCCCCCUUUUGUCGCAUUAAACCGGAGCCGCAGAUUUCCCGAUGAACGGUCCCGAUUUGCGCAUGAAUACCUCUUCGCGCGAUCGGAUCGGGGCCCUUGUUUUCUGAUCGGACGGCUCAGCCCGUCCGAUACCCCUUCGGCUAGUAAUCUUUAUGAAGAGCCCCUGUUCUUUUCUAGAUUUAACCCGCAGUCCAGAGAUCCUUUGUACUGAGUCAGGUAAACAUUGCGCUAGGGCCCCUGUAUUUUACAAAUUUUGAUGCCCAGUCCAGAGAAUUAGAAAAAUCCAUAAAAGUAAUUAGGAGAUGAAUUUUUAAUGUAAAAAUAAAUAAUAGAACUUGUUUAAUUCAUAUAAAAUUCUUAUUAAGUCAAAAUGAGUCCAUUCCAAUUCAUAUAAUUUUAUAAUAUUAUUUUUUAUCUACUAGUGUCUCUGUUUUGACAUGAAAAACAUAUUAAAAUUUGUCUCUUAAUUAAUCUUGUAUCAAACAAAUAAAAUCUUUGGAAAUUCAUAACUCCUCCAUUUUAAUUCCGAUUUGACUCGUUCCAGUUGCGUUAGUUUCGUAUAAGUAUUUAAUACGCAGUAACAACACUUAUUAUACCAUGUCUCAUUAUUUUAUAAUUGGAUCUGUAUUUAACUUAUGUUGGUUAGUCUUGUUAAUCUGCUCAUCUACUAAAACAUGAUCUAUGGUCAAUUCAUAAUUUAGAUUAAAGUUGAUAUAAUUAUUUAUAGUAUAACCUCUUAUAUAAUUUAUACUAACCAAUUUAUAAUAUAAUUUAAUAUUUUAAUCAUACAAAUCUUUUAUAAAAUCAUAACUUGAAGACCGUAACUCCGAUCUUAGUAGUUCUCGAUCCCGCGAUCUCGUAGCUUCGUGUAGAUUAUUAUUAUUCAGUUUGUUAUUAUGUUUGGUGUGAUGUUAAUUUUUAUCUAUACCAUGUUUGUUUGUAUUGCUACGUCUAGUGCGAGGUUUCAAGUCACCUGAAGUUCACCCUGGUAACUGGAUCUCAAGUGCCAGGCAAGUUGUGCCCUUGAUCACUUACUUUUCCCAGCCAUGUUCUUAUUAAUUUUAAUGAUCUGCAUAGGUUAAUUUUGAUGGGAUCCUUUAUGUACCCCAGUUUUGAUUACCUCUAUACCUUGUUCACCCCUGAAAUAUUUUUGGGUAGUACUUGCUAUUGCUUUAUGUGGAUUGGGUAUGGAGAUACACUACUCAUGAUUAUCCUGUUAUUAUCUUGUUAAUAUUACUGUUCAUGUUAAGAUCAUUAAAUUAAUGGGAACAUGGAGCGACCACCCGGGAAAACAGUGCUACCACAAGGGUUUAAUGGGACGCCCUUGGUUGAUUAACUAGGAAAGCUAGUGGAGGUCUUCCUUACCCAAAAGGGGCAAGGGCAGUAGGGGAGUGGUCAGUGUAGGGAGGUCCUUGGGUUGAUUUUGCUGCGAUGGCGGUCAGGUAAGAACCCUGCACUGGAGCUUCCUAUAAACUGUAGCGGGAUUUCUAAAACUAGUGGAACUUUGUAAAGGCCUCGUAGUGUUACCCUGCCUCGCCUCCUCGGUAGAGGUGUAUGGGAUUGGCCAUCUCUUGGCAGAUGGGUAACAUGACUUGUGGGUAAAGAUGCGCAACCUCUGCAGAGUGUAAAACUGGUAUACUAGCCGUGCUCACGGUCAUGAGCGGCUCGGACCCUCACAUGAUUAAUUAUGGAACUUAAAUUUAAUUUGACAUUUGCAUCGCAUUUGGGAUUAUUUUACUAUUACUGUUCUUUAUUAUUAUUAAGGUUUGGUAUUUACUUACACUUAGUAAGUGCUAAUAAAAUUUGACCAACUUAUAAAAGCAAUGCUCAGCUUCAGCCUCUAUUUCAUUGAUCAGCCUUACACUACAUGAUCUCCCGCCUUUGGUGAGUUCAUGCCACAUUAUUCCCCAUGACUUGUUGAGCUAUGAACGUAUGUGAGCUCACUCUUGCUGUCUCACACCCCCCCCCCACAGGAGAAGAACAGGUGGUCGAAGAGGAGCCGCCUAACGCAGAGGCAUUCGACUUGAUCUAGGUGGCGUUUCUCAGUUGACAUUGGCGCCAACGAUCCUUAGUUCGUUUUAUAUUUAUUCUUUUACUUUGUAAUAAGUCUUCCGCUGUGUAAUAAAUACUCUGAUGUUAUUAACAUUUAUCUCUAUACACUUUGUUAUUAUAUAUGUUGUCUUCUUGUCGCAUGUAUG
rnacentral:lncRNA from 1 species